UACGGGGGGGGCAAGCGUUGUUCGGAAUUACUGGGCGUAAAGGGUUCGUAGGCGGCUAACUAAGUCGGACGUGAAAUCCCCAGGCUCAACCUGGGAACUGCGUCCGAUACUGGAUGGCUUGAAUCCGGGAGAGGGAUGCAGAAUUCCUGGUGUAGCGGUGAAAUGCGUAGAUAUCAGGAGGAACACCUGUGGUGUAGACGGCUCUCUGGACCGCAACUGACGCUGAGACACGAAAGCGUGGGUAGCAAACAGG
rnacentral:rRNA from 1 species